UACGGAGGGUGCAAGCGUUAUCCGGAUUUACUGGGCUUAAAGGGUGCGUAGGUGGGCAGGUAAGUCAGUGGUGAAAUCUUCGAGCUUAACUCGGAAACUGCCAUUGAUACUGUCUGUCUUGAAUUUCCUGGAGGUAAGCGGAAUAUGUCAUGUAGCGGUGAAAUGCUUAGAUAUGACAUAGAACACCAAUUGCGAAGGCAGCUUACUACGGGAAUAUUGACACUGAGGCACGAAAGCGUGGGGAUCAAACAGG
rnacentral:rRNA from 1 species